GACGAACGCUGGCGGCGUGCCUAAUACAUGCAAGUAGAACGCUGAAGGAGGAGCUUGCUUCUUCGGAUGAGUUGCGAACGGGUGAGUAACGCGUAGGUAACCUGCCUGGUAGCGGGGGAUAACUAUUGGAAACGAUAGCUAAUACCGCAUAACAGUAGAUGUUGCAUGACAUUUGCUUAAAAGGUGCAAUUGCAUCACUACCAGAUGGACCUGCGUUGUAUUAGCUAGUUGGUGGGGUAACGGCUCACCAAGGCGACGAUACAUAGCCGACCUGAGAGGGUGAUCGGCCACACUGGGACUGAGACACGGCCCAGACUCCUACGGGAGGCAGCAGUAGGGAAUCUUCGGCAAUGGACGGAAGUCUGACCGAGCAACGCCGCGUGAGUGAAGAAGGUUUUCGGAUCGUAAAGCUCUGUUGUAAGAGAAGAACGAGUGUGAGAGUGGAAAGUUCACACUGUGACGGUAUCUUACCAGAAAGGGACGGCUAACUACGUGCCAGCAGCCGCGGUAAUACGUAGGUCUCGAGCGUUGUCCGGAUUUAUUGGGCGUAAAGCGAGCGCAGGCGGUUAGAUAAGUCUGAAGUUAAAGGCUGUGGCUUAACCAUAGUACGCUUUGGAAACUGUUUAACUUGAGUGCAAGAGGGGAGAGUGGAAUUCCAUGUGUAGCGGUGAAAUGCGUAGAUAUAUGGAGGAACACCGGUGGCGAAAGCGGCUCUCUGGCUUGUAACUGACGCUGAGGCUCGAAAGCGUGGGGAGCAAAUAGG
rnacentral:rRNA from 1 species